GGCUCACACCGGUUUAAACUCAGAUCAUGUAAAAUUUUAAAGGUCGAACAGACCUAAUUUAUUAGCCUCUUCACCAAUAAUUAAUUUUAAUCCAACAUCGAGGUCGCAAUCUUUUAUUUCGAUAAGAACUCUAGAAAAAAUCACGCUGUUAUCCCUAAGGUAAUUUAAUCUUAUAAUCUACAUUCUAGGAUCAUAUAUUCAUAAAUAAAUGGUUUUAUACAAAAAAAGUUAAUUAAAUUUU
rnacentral:rRNA from 1 species